UACGAGGGGGGCAAGCGUUGUUCGGAAUUAUUGGGCGUAAAGGGCGCGUAGGCGGUUUGACAAGUCUGAUGUGAAAUCUAUGGGCUCAACCCAUAGCCUGCAUUAGAAACUGUCGGGCUUGAGUAUGGGAGAGGUGAUUGGAAUUUCCGGUGUAGCGGUGAAAUGCGUAGAUAUCGGAAGGAACACCUGUGGCGAAAGCGGCUCACUGGACCAUAACUGACGCUGAGGCGCGAAAGCUAGGGGAGCAAACAGG
rnacentral:rRNA from 1 species